rnacentral:rRNA from 1 species
GACGAACGCUGGCGGCGUGCCUAAUACAUGCAAGUCGAGCGCAGGGAGCUGACGGAACUCUUCGGAGGGAAGGCAGUGGAAUGAGCGGCGGACGGGUGAGUAACACGUAAGGAACCUGCCUCAAGGAUUGGGAUAACUCCGAGAAAUCGGAGCUAAUACCGGAUAGUUCAACGGACCGCAUGGUCCGCUGAUGAAAGGCGCUUCGGCGUCACCUUGAGAUGGCCUUGCGGUGCAUUAGCUAGUUGGUGGGGUAACGGCCUACCAAGGCGACGAGGCAUAGCCGACCUGAGAGGGUGAUCGGCCACACUGGGACUGAGACACGGCCCAGACUCCUACGGGAGGCAGCAGUAGGGAAUCUUCCACAAUGGACGAAAGUCUGAUGGAGCAACGCCGCGUGAGUGAUGAAGGUUUUCGGAUCGUAAAACUCUGUUGUAAGGGAAGAACACGUACGAGAGGGAAUGCUCGUACCUUGACGGUACCUUACGAGAAAGCCACGGCUAACUACGUGCCAGCCGCCGCCGUAA